UCCUACGGGAGGCAGCAGUGGGGAAUUUUCCGCAAUGGGCGAAAGCCUGACGGAGCAACGCCGCGUGAGGGAUGAAGGCCUCUGGGCUGUAAACCUCUUUUAUCAAGGAAGAAGAUCUGACGGUACUUGAUGAAUAAGCCACGGCUAAUUCCGUGCCAGCAGCCGCGGUAAUACGGGAGUGGCAAGCGUUAUCCGGAAUUAUUGGGCGUAAAGCGUCCACAGGCGGUCUGUCAAGUCUGCUGUUAAAGCGUGGAGCUUAACUCCAUUUCGGCAGUGGAAACUGACAGACUAGAGUGUGGUAGGGGCAGAGGGAAUUCCCGGUGUAGCGGUGAAAUGCGUAGAUAUCGGGAAGAACACCAGUGGCGAAGGCGCUCUGCUGGGCCAUAACUGACGCUCAUGGACGAAAGCCAGGGGAGCGAAAGGGAUUAGAUACCCCUGUAGUCCUGGCCGUAAACGAUGAACACUAGGUGUCGGGGGAAUCGACCCCCUCGGUGUCGUAGCCAACGCGUUAAGUGUUCCGCCUGGGGAGUACGCACGCAAGUGUGAAACUCAAAGGAAUUGACGGA
rnacentral:rRNA from 1 species